CAUAGCGACUAUCGUGGCAUAUCAAUAAGCGGAGGAAAAGAAACUAACUAAGGAUUCCCUUAGUAACGGCGAGUGAAGCGGGAAGAGGCUCAAAUUUGAAAUCUUCAAGGUUUUACCUUGACGAAUUGUAGUUUAAAGAAGUGUUUUCUGUUGGAGUUUUGGUAAAAGUUCUUUGGAAUAGGACAUCAUAGAGGGUGAGAAUCCCGUAUUUGACCAUUAUUUCCAGCUGUGUGAUACACUUUCAAAGAGUCGGAUUGUUUGGGAAUGCAGUCCAAAAUGGGUGGUAAAUUUCAUCUAAAGCUAAAUAUUGGCGAGAGACCGAUAGCGAACAAGUACCGUGAGGGAAAGAUGAAAAGAACUUUGAAAAGAGAGUUAAACAGUACGUGAAAUUGUCAAAAGGGAAGCGUUUGACACCAGUGUUGUUUUUCCGAAAAUCAAUUACGAAUGUUUUGUUUUUGAGGAGUUAUGACUUCAUCGGCUUGCUCCUUUCUUUAUGAAACUUUCUUAAUGCACUUUUCGGUUAACAAGUCAACAUCAAUUUCUUUUGUUGUAAAAAGGUCAUUGGAAGGUGGCUUUCUUUUCGGAGAAAGUGUUUAUAGCCUUUGACUCCUGCAAUCGGAGAGACUGAGGUCUGCAGCGUAGAUCCUUCUUUGGAUUAGAUUCAUUUGUGCUAAGUUAUAGCUUUUUAUAGACAACUUGUUGACUAUAUUUAGUCUUGUAGCUUACUCGCUUAUGCUAUUUUACCUACGCUUAGGAUGUUGAUAGUCACAGCGUGUAC
rnacentral:rRNA from 1 species